GACGAACGCUGGCGGCGUGGAUUAGGCAUGCAAGUCGAACGGUAUCAUCCUUUCGGGGGUGAGAGAGUGGCGAACUGGUGAGUAACACGUAGGUUAUCUACCCUCAAGACGGGGACAACCCAGGGAAACUUGGGCUAAUACCGGAUGUGAGCAACUUUUAGUUGUUUGAAAGGUGGCGUAAGCUGUCGCUUGGGGAUGAGCCUGCGUCCUAUUAGUUAGUUGGUGAGGUAACGGCUCACCUAGGCAAUGAUAGGUAGGCGGCCUUAACGGGUGGUCGCCCACACUGGGAUUGAGAUACGGCCCAGACUCCUACGGGAGGCAGCAGUCGAGAAUAGUCUACAAUGGUCGGAAGACUGAUAGUGCGACGCCGCGUGAACGAUGAAUCCCUUCGGGGUGUAAAGUUCUUUUAUAUGUGAGCAGUGCUUCUUAUAUUAACAGUAUGGGGAGAGAGAUAUUAGCAUAUGAAUAAGCAACGGCUAACUCCGUGCCAGCAGCCCGGUAAA
rnacentral:rRNA from 1 species